rnacentral:rRNA from 1 species
GCCUUAAAUUUAACCUAAAAACUAUAAUUAACACACCCACCCCCUAAAUUACAAUUAAAUAAAACAUUUUAACAAUUUAGUAUAGGCGAUAGAAAAAUUCUUAGCGUUAUUAAAAGUACUGUGAAGGAACAAUGAAAUAGAAAUUAAAUAAAUUAUAAAAGCACAAAAAAGCAAAGACAAAACCUUCUACCUUUUGCAUCAUGGUCUAGCAAGUCUAAUUUAACAUAAAGAUCUUUAGUUAAACUUCCCGAAACUAGGUGAGCUACUCUAAAGCAAUAUAAAAGAAUUAACCCCCCUCUGUGGCAAAAGAGUGGGAUGACUUUUGAGUAGAGGUGAAAAGCCAAACGAACCUAGAGAUAGCUGGUUUCUCAAGAAAUGAAUUUUAGUUCAACUUUUAGCACAAUAGCAUUAAAAAGCCUGCUUAAAUGUUAAAUAAUUCAGGUACAGCUGAAUUAUUAAAGAAAACAAUCUAAAUAAAUGAAUAAGGAUUAUAAUUAUUAAAGAAAUUAACUUUGUAGGCUUAAAAGCAGCCAACAAUAAAAAAAGAGUCAAAACUUAGUUUAAUAGCACUUAUUAUACCAAUAUAAAAGCCCAAUUCACACUAUUUAUUGAGAUAUUCUACUACUAUAGAAAAAUUUAUGCUAGAACUAGUAACAAGAAAUAAUUCUCUUAAUGCAAGUGUAAAUCAGAACGGAAUAACCACUGAUAAUUAACGAUCUAUAUAAAAAGUAAUAUAAUAUUACCAAGAAAAUUUUAUUUCAUAUAAUCGUUAAACCGACACAGGAGCAUACUAGAAAGAUUAAAAGGAUUGAAAGGAACUCGGCAAAUAUGAACUCCGCCUGUUUACCAAAAACAUCGCCUCUUGUCCACCUUGUAUAAGAGGUCCCGCCUGCCCAGUGACUAAUAGUUUAACGGCCGCGGUAUUAUAACCGUGCGAAGGUAGCGUAAUCACUUGUCUUUUAAAUAAAGACCUGUAUGAAUGGCAAAACGAGAAUUCAACUGUCUCUCAGUCCGAAUCAAUGAAACUGAUCUUCCCGUGCAGAAGCGGGGCUAAUAAUAUAAGACGAGAAGACCCUAUGGAGCUUUAAACACAAACUACCUAAUCAAAUAUAAUUAAUCAAAAGACCAAAUAUAUAAUCUUUAGAAAUAGCUUAAGUUUUCGGUUGGGGUGACCACGGAAUAUAAUACAACUUCCGAGAUAAAUAAAACUAGAACGACAGUUCAAAAUAAUAAAUUAUUUAAUAUAAUUGACCCAAUUUUUGAUCAACGAACCAAGUUACCCUAGGGAUAACAGCGCAAUCCUUUCUAAGAGUUCCUAUCGACGAAUGGGUUUACGACCUCGAUGUUGGAUCCGGACCUCCUAAUGGUGCCGAAGCUAUUAAAGGUUCGUUUGUUCAACGAUUAAAGUCCUACGUGAUCUGAGUUCAGACCGGAGCAAUCCAGGUCGGUUUCUAUCUAUAAUAGAGUCUUUUUUAGUACGAAAGGACCAAAAAGACAAAGCCUAUAUUAUAAACACGCUUUAUUUUAAAUUAUUGAAAACAAAUAAAAUAAUUAAAAACACAAAAUAAUGCUCAAUAAUAGAGCU